rnacentral:rRNA from 1 species
AACGAACGCUGGCGGCAGGCCUAACACAUGCAAGUCGAACGCUCCGCAAGGGGAGUGGCGCACGGGUGAGUAACACGUGGGAACCUACCUUCUGGUACGGAACAACCAAGGGAAACUCUGGCUGAUACCGUAUACGACCUCCGGGUGAAAGAUUGAUCGCCGGAAGAGGGGCCCGCGUCCGAUUAGGUAGUUGGUGAGGUAACGGCUCACCAAGCCUGCGAUCGGUAGCUGGUCUGAGAGGANGACCAGCCACACUGGGACUGAGACACGGCCCAGACUCCUACGGGAGGCAGCAGUGGGGAAGUCUUGCGCAAUGGGCGAAAGCCUGACGCAGCGACGCCGCGUGAGGGAGUGACGGCCUC